UCUAUGGCCUGGGGGGCUCAAGGCACAGAGCUCCUCAUUAGCCAGAGUCGCCCAUGUUCCCCAUGCUCUAAGGAUUUCCUCAUCAUCAUGCAAGAAGAAGAAUAGAAAAGAGGAAGAGGAAGAAACAAAAGGAACUUCUCUCUUAGAUUUAAUUCUGACCUACCAGGAAGAACUGGAUUGUUGAAGCAGAAGUACUGGAGUCUCUGGAGCUAGAGCUCUCUAGAAGUGAACAACCCAAGCUGCUUAUACUGUAGUGGAGGAGACAGACAAUAAACCAAUAAAUAAGCAACAAACCAAUACAUAUAGGAAGUAUGACAGGCAGUGGAACCAAGGAUAAGAACAUUAAGAUUAUCCUGCUGGAGAGAGAGGCCAUGCGGAAGAACCCUGGAAAAUGAGACAGCUCACAGAGCAAGAGGCCAUGUGGAGAAGGCCUAGAAGUAAAAUGCCUCAUGGAACAAGAGGCCACAUGCAGAAGGCCUGGAGGAUGAGACGCCCUGUGAAGUGAGAGGCCACGUGGAGAAGGCCUAGAGGAGGAGACACCUUAUGGAGCAAGA
rnacentral:lncRNA from 10 species